UACCUGGUUGAUUCUGCCAGUAGUCAUACGCUCACAUAAAAGAUUAAGCCAUGCAAGUGCCAGUACAAAUGACUCUGUACAGUGAAACUGCGAAUGGCUCAUUAAAUCAGUUAUAGUUUACUUGAUAGUCUCUUACUACUUGGAUAACCGUGGUAAUUCUAGAGCUAAUACAUGCAUAAAUGCCCGACUUCUGGAAGGGCUGUUGUUAUUAGAUUAAAACCAAUGGUGGCAACACCUCACUUGGUGAUUCAUAGUAACUCUCGAAUCGCAUGUCCUCGCGACGGCGAUGUAUCAUUCAAAUUUCUGCCCUAUCAACUUGAUUGUAGUUUAUUGGACUACAAUGGUUAUAACGGGUAACGGGGAAUAAGGGUUCGAUUCCGGAGAAGGAGCCUGAGAAACGGCUCCUACAUCCAAGGAAGGCAGCAGGCGCGCAAAUUACCCAAUGCCGACUCGGCGAGGUAGUGACAAUACAUAACGAUACAGGGCCUUCGUGGUCCUGUAAUUGGAAUGAGUACAAUCUAAAUCUCUUAACGAGGAACAAUUGGAGGGCAAGCUUGGUGCCAGCAGCCGCGGUAAUUCCAACUCCAAUAGCGUAUAUUAAAGUUGUUGCGUUAGAAACGCGCGUAGUUGAAUUUGGGCACAGACUGGCUGUCCGCUUAACGGCGUGCACGGCCAGGUUGUGUCGAACUUCCUGCCAAUCUGGUCUUCUCUUCACCGAGUGGGCCAGAGCGACAGGACUUUUACUUUGAAAAAAUUAGAGUGUUUAAAGCAGGCGUUCGCUUGAAUACAUUAGCAUGGAAUAAUAGAAUAGGACUUUGGUUCUAUUUUGUUGGUUUCUAGGACCGAGGUAAUGAUUAAUAGGGACAGUCGGGGGCAUUAGUAUUUCAGAGUCAGAGGUGAAAUUCUUGGAUUUCUGAAAGACUAACUACUGCGAAAGCAUUUGCCAAGGAUGUUUUCAUUAACCAAGCACGAAAGUCAGGGGAUCAAAAAUGAUUAGAUACCGUUGUAGUCUUGACCAUAAACUAUGCCGACUCGGGAUUGGUGGAACGUAAUUAUACGCGUCCAUCAGCACCGUACGAGAUAUCAAAGUGUUUGGGUUACGGGGGGAGUACAUUCGCAAGGCUGAAACUUAAAGAAAUUGACGGAAGAGCACAACAAGGCGUGGAAUAUGCGGCUUAAUUUGACUCAACACGGGGAAACUUACCAGGUCCAGACUUAAUAAGGAUUGACAGAUUGAGAGCUCUUUCUUGAUUUUAAGGGGUGUGGUGCAUGGCCGUUCUUAGUUGGUGGAGUGAUUUGUCUGCUUAAUUGCGAUAACGAACGAGACCUUUUCCUGCUAAAUAGACUCACUCAGCCUUGCUGGGUGCAGCCUUCUUAGAGGGACUUUUGAUGUUUAAUCAAAGGAAGCUUGAGGCAAUAACAGGUCUGUGAUGCCCUUAGAUGUUCUGGGCCGCACGCGCGUUACACUGAUGAAGUCAACGAGUUUAUUCCUUGGCUGAAAAGUCUGGGUAAUCUUUUUAAACUUCAUCGUGCUGGGGAUAGAGCAUUGCAAUUAUUGCUCUUCAACGAGGAAUGCCUAGUAAGCGCAAGUCAUCAGCUUGCGUUGAUUACGUCCCUGCUCUUUGUACACACCGCCCGUCGCUACUACCGAUGAAUGGCUUAGUGAGGCCUUGGGAUUGAGUGUCUGUCUGGCAACAGACGUGUCACUUGAGAACUUGGUCAAACUUGGUCAUUUAGAGGAAGUAAAAGUCGUAACAAGGUAUCCGUAGGUGAACCUGCGGAUGGAUCAUUA
rnacentral:rRNA from 1 species